rnacentral:rRNA from 1 species
UACGAAGGGGGCUAGCGUUGUUCGGAAUCACUGGGCGUAAAGCGCACGUAGGCGGACUUUUAAGUCAGGGGUGAAAUCCUGGAGCUCAACUCCAGAACUGCCUUUGAUACUGAAGAUCUUGAGUUUCGGGAGAGGUGAGUGGAACUGGCGAGUGUAGAGGUGAAAUUCGUAGAUAUUCGCAAGAACACCAGUGGCGAAGGCG